AUGGAGAUCAGAAGCCUAGCUGAGACCAUCUUUGAGUACCUCCAAGGUAAAAGAUACAUCUUAAUUCUAGAUGAUGUUUGGACUACUGAUGUUUGGUCAGAGAUAAGGACUGUCUUUCCGUCUAGUGGCCGACUUGUUGUCACAUCAAGAAAGCAUGAAGUAUCAUCAUUGUCAACUAAUAAGUAUUCAAUUCAUUUGGAACCACUUGAAGAAGAUAACUCUUGGGAGUUGUUCUGCAAAUCAGCCUUUUGGAAUGAUGCUGACAGAAAGUGUCCACCGGAGUUGCAGAACUUGGCUUGGAAAUUUGUAAACAAGUGUGAAGGGUUGCCUAUUGCUAUUGUAUGCAUAGGCAGCGUACUAUCCAGAAAAUGUCAAACUUCUGCAGAAUGGGAAGAAGUAUAUGAUGAGUUAAAGCUCCAGUUGGUGAAAAAUGUGUGGUCUCGUGUUGAGACAAUUCUAAAAGUCAGCUUGGAGGACCUUCCAUAUUAUUUGAAGAAUUGUUUCUUACAUUGUGCAUUAUUCCCAGAAGAUUAUUCCAUCAAGAGGAGGACAGUAAUGAGGCAUUGGAUUGUUGCUGGAUUCAUCAAGGAAAAGCAGAAUAAAACUCUGGAGGAAGUGGCAGAGGGGUACUUGACUGAACUUGUGAACCGAAGCCUACUACAAGUGGUAGAGAGGAAUUAUACUGGGCGGUUGAAAUGUUGUCAGAUGCAUGAUGUCAUACGCCUUGUUGCCCUCAAUAAAGCUGGUGAAGAAUGCUUUGGUAAAGUGUAUGAUGGCUCUGGAGCAUUCUCUAUAGAGCGCACGCGUCGCAUAUCAAUCCAGAGUGGAAACCUUCAACGACUGAGUGAAUCUGAUGCAACACAUGUCCGUGCAAUCCAUGUUUUUAACAGGUAA
rnacentral:rRNA from 1 species